rnacentral:rRNA from 1 species
ACUGCUCAGUAACACGUAAGUGACCUACCCCCGAGUGGGGAAUAACUGCUCGAAAGAGUGGCUAAUACCGCAUAUGCUCCCUGCAUCGGAGUGGGGAGUAAAGCAGCGAUGCGCUUGGGGAUGGGCUUGCGGCCGAUUAGCUAGUUGGUGGGGUAAAGGCCUACCAAGGCGAUGAUCGGUAGCUGGUCUGAGAGGAUGAUCAGCCAGACUGGGACUGCGACACGGCCCAGACUCCUACGGGAGGCAGCAGUUAGGAAUUUUGCGCAAUGGACGAAAGUCUGACGCAGCAACGCCGCGUGGGGGAAGAAGGUCUUCGGAUCGUAAACCUCUUUUGCCGGGGAAGAUAGUGACGGUACCCGGCGAAUAAGCCCCGGCUAACUACGUGCCAGCAGCCGCGGUAAUACGUAGGGGGCGAGCGUUGUCCGGAUUUAUUGGGCGUAAAGAGCGCGUAGGCGGCCCGCCAAGUCUUGCGUUAAAUACCUCGGCUCAACCGAGGGGGGUCGUGGGAUACUGGCGAGCUAGAGGCCGGUAGGGGGAAGUGGAAUUCCCGGUGUAGUGGUGGAAUGCGUAGAUAUCGGGAGGAACACCAGUGGCGAAGGCGGCUUCCUGGACCGGUCCUGACGCUGAGGCGCGAAAGCGUGGGGAGCGAACUGAAUUAGAUACUCAGGUAGUCCACGCUGUAAACAAUGGGUGCUAGGUGUCGGGGGUAUCGACCCCUCCGGUGCCGCAGCUAACGCAUUAAGCACCCCGCCUGGGGAGUACGGCCGCAAGGCUAAAACUCAAAGGAAUUGGCGGGGGAGCAC